rnacentral:piRNA from 1 species
UAUUGCUUCAUACCGUCCCCACCC